UAAAAGUGCGUACUCUUUUCAUUCCCCUUUGACCUCACGCAUGUGUCCGCCCACCGGCAUUCCACUUCCGUGUUUACAGAAGCCGCACGGCAGCACGGACAGUCGCGCAUACAACCGCGGACCUGCGCGCCUCGCUAUAAAACCGAUGGUAAGUCGACUUCCUCUCUUUUGAGCACUAGAGCUCCGUAGCUGUAGCUUAACAUAGCCUUCUGUUAUAGGCCGCAGUGUAGCUCUCUAGCUGAGCCUCUCUCCUCCAUAGGAGCUGCAUUUCAGCCCCAAAGUGACGCUGCUGUUUUGCUCCACCUCGCUACACGCUACUACUCUGCUGCGUUGCAGCGAUUGUUUACGCUGUGUUCUACCUAUACCAUCAUUCACCUAUCCUACCCGCUGCUGCAACGUUACGGCGCUCACUCUGCCGGCAUUUAGACCUCGCUAACACACUCCUGGCUGCGGUUCCAUUGUGGUCGUGUGGACCACUUUCCCUGGUCCAUCUACAAGUUGCAGGAGCUGACUACCGAGCCUAGUGGUGGUGGUGGAUCCCCUGGUGGUGGCCCCUUUUUGGUUUGUGGUGCACUUUCACUAUUUAUUGCUUUACUAUUUUGUUGUGUUUUGAUAUUAGUUAGGUUGUCCCACCCACGGUUGUCCCCCCUCCAUCCACAGGUAAACCCUGCUCCUAGGUUCUCACGUUUGUUUUGUAUGUAUAUAGAAAACUUGGUACCUUUUUAUAAACAAACGCAUUUGAUAACGUUAAAAUUUUAACUUUUCUACUAUCAAUAAAGCUCGUCAAAUCGAACUGAACAGUCUCCGGCCUCUCAGUAAAAGUGAACCUGUGUGCUGUACCCCAUAUUCUCCAGGCGAAAUUCCUGGUGUGGCGUUGUCGGCCCUGGUACAGUAGCAUUAAGCGCUGUACCUGGCAAUCGAUCAAAUUUACACCCCCCUC
rnacentral:lncRNA from 1 species